rnacentral:lncRNA from 1 species
CCCAAACCCCCCUGGGAUCCCUUCAAGGUUAGAGGAUAUGCAGUAUACGCACCUCAAAGAAAAUGCAAGUUCAUUAUCUUCACCCUUUUAUUCACACCUUGUCCUUGCCUGUUGCCUCUCUUGCAGCUGCUUUUUGCUCUGGACCUUGGUCUUCAGUCCCUGCCUGCACAAUGUAGCUGUGCGGACAUCACUGGCAAAAUACUAAUGGUGGUAACACCUGGUGGUCCUACUUGUCUUCCAAAGAUACAUUUCUGGUAUGACAUGUUCCCAACUUGCUGCGUAGCAAUGACUGGAUGGGUGCUCAUGAAGGAGAUGUCUCAUUUCUCAUUUGUGGCUGGGAAGUCACCAGGACGCUUUCCUGAAGGACAUGUAGCCAGCUCUGCUCGCCUGGCGCGGCACUGUCCCAGCCCAGGCCAGAGACCCCUGUUCCCAGAGAAGAAUGUGCCCAAAAGAGAAGAGCUGGUCACUUGGGAAGAACUGCCUUUUGCAGUGGCUGACAGGUAGGUGGUUUCUGUUAUCCGCGCAUGCAAAUCAGGGGCUCGAGCUGUUUUUACCAUCAUAGUAGCUGUAUGUUGGCUUCAUGCUUAUUCACCGUCACUGAUACACUUACCUCUUUCUUUUCUUUAAGUCACAGAGACCAUUUGUGUCCCAAGGCCCGAACUCUGUCAUCUUUUGCCCCAUGUAGAAGGACAGCGGUAUGGAGCUGACUGUGACAUAUUACAAAUGAAUGGUAUAAAAAGCACUGACCAGAGCCCAUUUCCUGGUUCACGGCUCAAGUUCCACAUCUCCAGACCUUUUUGUAAGAGGCUAUGAGCAUUCAAAGAACUAAGCAGUUGCUGAAGCCUCAUUUCCUAUUUCAAACUGCACUGAGAGAACUACACUAAGAUGUCACCCCCCUCUGCAGGCCCAGCUCACUGUGUAGCUGGACAUGCCCCUCAGUUGUGGCAGCGUGCUAGUACUAAUGAUGCGCAGACCAGAAUACCUGGGAAGGGAAGAGGCGCAUGGGAUUCCUGCACUUGUCUGAAGGGUCCAAGAGACCUGACCUGCUUCCCAAUUAAAGAUGGUAGAAGACUUUUAAGGGUUAAAUUUAGACACGUGUUUCUAUCCUGGUUCCUGGGGAAGAGUUUACAUUCCUGGUGUAAAGAGAUUAAUAAAUGUUAAUUACUGCCUGGUUCA